rnacentral:rRNA from 1 species
CUAGUCGAAAGAUUAGCUAAUACCGCAUACGAUCUACGGAUGAAAGUGGGGGAUCGCAAGACCUCAUGCUCGUGGAGCGGCCGAUAUCUGAUUAGCUAGUUGGUGGGGUAAAGGCCUACCAAGGCGACGAUCAGUAGCUGGUCUGAGAGGACGACCAGCCACACUGGGACUGAGACACGGCCCAGACUCCUACGGGAGGCAGCAGUGGGGAAUUUUGGACAAUGGGGGCAACCCUGAUCCAGCAAUGCCGCGUGUGUGAAGAAGGCCUUCGGGUUGUAAAGCACUUUUGUUCGGAAAGAAAUCAUCCUGGCUAAUACCUGGGGUGGAUGACGGUACCGGAAGAAUAAGCACCGGCUAACUACGUGCCAGCAGCCGCGGUAAUACGUAGGGUGCGAGCGUUAAUCGGAAU